rnacentral:rRNA from 1 species
UGAGGAAUAUUGGACAAUGGGCGAAAGCCUGAUCCAGCCAUGCCGCGUGAGUGAUGAAGGCCCUCGGGUUGUAAAACUCUUUCAAUCGUGAAGAUAAUGACGGUAGCGAUAGAAGAAGCUCCGGCUAACUCCGUGCCAGCAGCCGCGGUAAUACGGAGGGAGCGAGCGUUGUUCGGAAUCACUGGGCGUAAAGCGUGCGUAGGCGGCUUGGCAAGUCAGGAGUGAAAUCCCGGGGCUCAACCCCGGAACUGCUCUUGAAACUGCUAGGCUAGAGUCCGGUAGAGGUUAGGAGAAUUCCCAGUGUAGAGGUGAAAUUCGUAGAUAUUGGGAGGAAUACCAGUGGCGUAGGCGCCUAACUGGACCGGUACUGACGCUCAGGCACGAAAGCGUGGGGAGCAAACAGG